GACGAACGCUGGCGGCGUGCUUAACACAUGCAAGUCGAACGGAAAGGCCCCUUUGGGGGUACUCGAGUGGCGAACGGGUGAGUAACACGUGAGUAACCUGCCCUUUACUUCGUGAUAACUUCAGGAAACUGGGGCUAAUACCGGAUAGGAAUCCUUGCUGCAUGGUGGGGGUUGGAAAGCUUCGGCGGUUUUGGAUGGACUCGCGGCUUAUCAGCUUGUUGGUGGGGUAGUGGCUUACCAAGGCUCUGACGGGUAGCCGGCCUGAGAGGGCGACCGGCCACAUUGGGACUGAGGGAAGGCCCAGACUCCGACGGGAGGCAGCAGGGGGGAAGAUUGCACAAUGGGCGGAAGCCUGAUGCAGCAACGCCGCGUGCGGGAUGACGGCCUUCGGGUUGUAAACCGGUUUCAGCAGGGGAGAAGCUUGUGGUGACGGUACCUGCAGAAGAAGCACCGGCUAACUACGUG
rnacentral:rRNA from 1 species